rnacentral:lncRNA from 1 species
GCUGUAUAUAUACGGAACCCGUACCAUGUAGCAAUGUGUGGAAGGCGAUAUAUUCCAGAAUCUUGCGAAAAGGGUGUCGGCAUAAUGGUUUGGGGGCCGCCAACACUCUCCCCCGUAGUUCGUUAAGAUUCAGUAUGGUAUAUAUCAACAUGUCUGGCGGCUAACACGAGACAACUCCCGUUCUCGUCGUGUAUGUUAGCUGGGAAUUUUUAUUUAUUGAUAUUAAUUUUUAUUGACACACAUACAAGAUAUCUGUGGUAUAGGGAAAAUUUUCCUUACAAGAAUUGUUCACCAUGUAAACCUGCGCAGGAAUUUUUUAGGUUUUUUAUUUUUUUUCAUGUUAUAGACAUCGUCCAGACAUCUCUCUAAGACAGACAUCUUUCUAAUUCAGACACUUCUCUAAUGCGGACGUCUCUGUAAUACAGAUUUCUCUCGAAUACAGACAUCUCUCUAAUACAG